GACGAACGCUGGCGGCGUGCUUAACACAUGCCAGUCGAACGGAAAGGCCCUGCUUUUGUGGGGUUCUCGAGUGGCGAACGGGUGAGUAACACGUGAGUAUCCUGCCCUUGACUUUGGGAUAACUUCAGGAAACUGGGGCUAAUACCGGAUAGGAGCUCCUGCUGCAUGGUGGUGGUUGGAAAGUUUCGGCGGUGGGGGAUGGACUAGCGGGUUAUCAGCUUGUUGGUGGGGUUGUGGCUUACCAAGGCUUAGACGGGUAGCCGGCCUGAGAGGGUGACCGGCCACAUUGGGACUGAGAUACGGACCAGACUCCUACGGGAGGCAGCAGUGGGGAAUAUUGCACAAUGGGCGGAAGCCUGAUGCAGCAACGCCGCGUGCGGGAUGACGGCCUUCGGGUUGUAAACCGCUUUCGCCUGUGACGAAGCGUGAGUGACGGUAAUGGGUAAAGAAGCACCGGCUAACUACGUG
rnacentral:rRNA from 1 species